rnacentral:tRNA from 10 species
GCCGGGGUGGCGGAAUUGGCAGACGCAUCGGACUUAAAAUCCGAAGGGGUCCAUCCCCGUGUGGGUUCGAGCCCCACCCCCGGCA